rnacentral:rRNA from 1 species
UGACCUCGGAUCAGGUAGGGAUACCCGCUGAACUUAAGCAUAUCAAUAAGCGGAGGAAAAGAAACCAACAGGGAUUACCUCAGUAACGGCGAGUGAAGCGGC